GAGAAGCUUGCUUCUUUUUGAAUCUAGUGGCAAACGGGUGAGUAACACGUAAACAACCUGCCUUCAGGAUGGGGACAACAGACGGAAACGACUGCUAAUACCGAAUGUGUUCCGGAGACCGCAUGAUUUCCGGAAGAAAGGAUGGCCUCUAUUUAUAAGCUAUCGCCUGAAGAGGGGUUUGCGUCUGAUUAGGCAGUUGGUGAGGUAACGGCCCACCAAACCUACGAUCAGUAGCCGGUCUGAGAGGAUGAACGGCCACACUGGAACUGAGACACGGUCCAGACUCCUACGGGAGGCAGCAGUGGGGAAUCUUCCGCAAUGGACGAAAGUCUGACGGAGCAACGCCGCGUGAGUGAUGACGGCCUUCGGGUUGUAAAGCUCUGUGAUCGGGGACGAAUGGCUGGUAUGCUAAUACCAUAUCAGAGUGACGGUACCCGAAUAGCAAGCCACGGCUAACUACGUGCCAGCAGCCGCGGUAAUACGUAGGUGGCAAGCGUUGUCCGGAAUUAUUGGGCGUAAAGCGCGCGCAGGCGGCUUCUUAAGUCCAUCUUAAAAGUGCGGGGCUUAACCCCGUGAUGGGAUGGAAACUGGGAGGCUGGAGUAUCGGAGAGGAAAGUGGAAUUCCUAGUGUAGCGGUGAAAUGCGUAGAGAUUAGGAAGAACACCGG
rnacentral:rRNA from 1 species